rnacentral:rRNA from 1 species
UACGAACUGUGCAAACGUUAUUCGGAAUCACUGGGCUUACAGGGUGCGUAGGCGGCCUGACAAGUAGGGUGUGAAAGCCCCCGGCUCAACCGGGGAAUGGCGCCCUAAACUGUCGGGCUGGAGUGAGAUAGGGGUGUGCGGGAACUUCCGGUGGAGCGGUGAAAUGUGUUGAUAUCGGAAGGAACGCCGGUGGCGAAAGCGGCACACUGGAUCUCAACU